rnacentral:misc_RNA from 1 species
GAUGAAGAACGCAGCGAAAUGCGAUAAGUAGUGUGAAUUGCAGAAUUCAGUGAAUCAUCGAAUCUUUGAACGCACAUUGCGCCCCUUGGUAUUCCGGGGGGCAUGCCUGUUCGAGCGUCAUUUCAACCCUCAAGUUCUGCUUGGUCUUGGGCCGCGCCGGCGACGGCGGGCCUCAAAAACAGUGGCGGCGCCAUCUGGUUCCUCAGCGUAGUAAUUCUUCUCGCUGUUGGGCCCGGGUGGCCGCUGGCCAGCAACCCCAAAUUUUCUAUGGUUGACCUCGGAUCAGGUAGGGAUACCCGCUGAACUUAAGCAUAUCAAUAAGCGGAGGA